CUACUGUUUGACAGACUGGACGCUUUUUGUUAAAGUUCACAUAUUUUGCUUCUGAAAUUAAAAAAUGGAGAAAACAAACAUCACAGCACAGACAGAAGAUUCUUCUGAUGAAUUAUCUUGUUAUGAGAUCUCAUCCAACGAUGCCAAUGAGGCUUCAUUCCACCAGAACGGUAAAAAAAACCAAGCUUGGGAGAAGAAGGACUGUCAUAGUUUUAAUGAACCUGAAAAUGAUGCAUCUAAGCCUCCUCAGAAGUGUAAGACAGAGGAACCAGCUGAUCUGAAUCAGUCUGCUGCUGCUCCAGGGGCUCUGAGUGAGACUCAACAUGGUAAACACCAUGGUUCAGAUGACACAUUUGGGUGGGUAGAAGAGAAAACACAGAUGCUGAAUCGGGAAAAAGAAAUGGAUUUCAUCCUUCAGAAGAAGAACGAUGAAAUAGCAAAUCUCCGUCUUUCACUGGAUCAGGCACAACAGGAACAGAAGAUGAAAUUGGAAAAAAAGGACCUAAUGUUGGAAAUAAAGGAAGAGGAAAUCUCCUACCUGUCAUUAUUACUGGAUGAGUUUGAAACUGAAUUAGACCUGAAAAGUAGUGAGUGGGAGGACAGCCUAGAACUUAAUAUGUGUGAGGUACGUGAGAAGGUCCAGGCUCAGAAGAAGCAGUUGGAUGAAGAAAAGGCUGCUCUGUUGGACGUUACUAACGAGCUUCAGAACAAGGAACAAAUGUUCUUAAAGCAGAAAACUGAGUAUGAGAAUAACAUCUCCAACAUGAAUAGUGUUUUAAAACAGAACAAUAAUACAAUAGAUGAACAGCAAAAAACGAUUUCACAUUUGGAGACCACUCUGAUAAUGAAGGAGGAUGACUUAAAAACCCGGACAGACCAAUGGAACCAAAUGGUGGCAGAGAAUGAAAAAGCUGUGAAAGCAAUCACGGAAAUGGAAGCUCACAGCAGUAAUGAGAACCAGUCCAAACAAACACUGGUCCAACUACAGACCGCCCUGGAUGAAGCAGAGAAAAGACUUAUGGAAAUGGAAGAGGAGCGGUCCAACCACACCAUUACGAUGUCCAUCAUGAAGGCCACGCUCACUGAAACACAGGAAGCCUUCAACAACCUGCAAGCCAAAUUUUGGGAGCAGAAGAAAGAGAAGGAAAAAAAGGACCUAAUGUUGGAACUAAAGGAAGAGGAUAUCUCCGACCUGUCAUUAUUAUUGGAUGAGUUUGAAACUGAAUUAGACCUGAAAAGUAGUCAGUGGGAGGACAGCCUAGAACUUAAUAUGCGUGAGGUACGUGAGAAGGUCCAGGCUCAGAAGAAGCAGUUGGAUGAAGAAAAGGCUGCUCUGUUGGACGUUACUAACGAGCUUCAGAACAAGGAACAAAUGUUCUUAAAGCAGAAAACUGAGUAUGAGAAUAACAUCUCCAACAUGAAUAGUGUUUUAAAACAGAACAAUAAUACAAGAGAUGAACAGCAAAAAACGAUUUCACAUUUGGAGACCACUCUGAUAAUGAAGGAGGAUGACUUAAAAACCCGGACAGACCAGUGGAACCAAAUGGUGGCGGAGAAUGAAAAAGUUGUGAAAGCAUUCACAGUUCACUGCAGUUAUGAGAACCAGUCCAAACAAAAACUGGUCCAACUACAGACCGCCCUGGAUGACGCAGAGAAAAGACUUAUGGAAAUGGAAGAGGAGCGGUCCAACCACACCAUUACUAUGUCCAUUAUGAAGGCCAUGCUCACUGAAACACAGGAAGCCUUCAACAACCUGCAAGCCAUAUUUCAGGAGCAGAAGAAAGAGAAGGAGGAGAAGAAGAAGAAGAGGAAGGAGCAGAAGCAGAAGAAGAAAAAGAAGAAGGCAGCUUCUAAAGACAAGCCUUCAAAGAAUUGGUUCAAAAACCUUUUCAGAACCAAAAGAAAAUGAGGAUGGUGCUGUGGAUGGAGAAGGAGAAGGGGCAGAAGCAGGAGAAUGAACAAAAGAAGGAGAAGGAGAAGGCAGCUUCUAAAGUCAAACCUUUAAGGGAAUGGUUCAGAAACCUGUUAAGAACCAAAAGAAUGAAUCAGAAAGUCUCCACAACUUCCCUCAUGGAUUUGCCUAUCCUACGUAAAGAUUCAGCCCAACAACUCUACCCGUCUUCAUUGGAGUCCCAGGAAUCUGUGACAUUGUUUGGGAACACAGGUAAUUAUCAAAGACCUUUUAUUUCUCAACAAUGACCGUGUUAGUGUUAGCCUUUGCUAAGCUACCCAGAUUCAACUACGCUUGCACAAGUACACCAGAUGAAGGCACUAUGUUGAUUUUGUUAUGUGUGUUUAUCAUUCUAGAUGCUCUUAAGGCUGACGGUCUGUGCACGUCCGUAAUCACACUGCUUGUGGAACUCAGCACGACCAGAAUAUCAGCGCAUGUUUGUGUCAAACUUACGUGUCCUGAUGUCAUUCCAUUCAUCUGAAUUUGGACCGAGGACCUCCUGUGUGUGACUGAAGGGAUGUUGUUGUU
rnacentral:lncRNA from 1 species